rnacentral:rRNA from 1 species
UACGUAGGGUGCAAGCGUUGUCCGGAAUUAUUGGGCGUAAAGAGCUCGUAGGCGGUCUGUCGCGUCUACUGUGAAAACUCGGGGCUUAACCCCGGGCCUGCAGUGGGUACGGGCAGACUAGAGUGCGGUAGGGGAGAUCGGAAUUCCUGGUGUAGCGGUGGAAUGCGCAGAUAUCAGGAGGAACACCGGUGGCGAAGGCGGAUCUCUGGGCCAUAACUGACGCUGAUGUGCGAAAGCUAGGGGAGCGAACGGG